UGUUAUAUCCCGCAUUUUUUUCCGCAUUCGGAUAGUUUAAGAUUUUGACGAAAUUGUGACGUGAAUUUGGAAUAGCUAAAGGAGCGGAAAGAGGUUAGCAGGUAUACGGACCGGGUCUCUAGGGCUCUAUCUGCAGCAUUGGGCAGCGCUCCAGUCGUUCCGGAGCCUCAUAUCAUUGGUACUAUUUUGUGUAUGUAUUUUCGGCGCGACAAUACUCGGCCCUUUCUAUGUAUAACGGUACUAUGUCUAGAGGCUCGUAGACAGAUAUACACAGUCAGCUAUGUACAGUUUAAUGUAUUGUAUUCCGAAUGGUUCGCGUUCUGGUGUAACGCGAUAUUAGAAAGUUUACUGCAAAUGUUAAUGUUUAGAAAAAAAAAUAUGGCACUGUUUAUACAGGAUAGCUAAGGGGUGCUCGGUACAAGUAUCGGGUACUCGUCACGGCCCCUAGUCGGGUCG